CUGCCGGUGACAAACCGGAGGAAGGUGGGGAUGACGUCAAGUCCUCAUGGCCCUUAUAGGUGGGGCUACACACGUCAUACAAUGGCCGGUACAGAGGGUUGCCAACCCGCGAGGGGGAGCCAAUCCCCAUAAAGCCGGUCGUAGUCCGGAUUGGAGUCUGCAACUCGACUCCAUGAAGUCGGAAUCGCUAGUAAUCGCGGAUCAGAAUGUCGCGGUGAAUACGUUCCCGGGUCUUGUACACACCGCCCGUCACACCAUGGGAGCGGGUUCUGCCAGAAGUGGUUAGCCUAACCGCAAGGAGGGCGAUCACCACGGCAGGGUUCGUGACUGGGGUGAAGUCGUAACAAGGUAACCGUAA
rnacentral:rRNA from 1 species